GCCCAGGUGGCGAAAUUGGUAGACGCACUACUUUGAGGUGGUAGCGCCUUUGCGGGUGUGCUGGUUCGAGUCCAGUCCUGGGCA
rnacentral:tRNA from 1 species